CCUACGGGAGGCUGCAGUGAGGAAUAUUGGUCAAUGGACGCAAGUCUGAACCAGCCAUGCCGCGUGCAGGAAGACGGCUCUAUGAGUUGUAAACUGCUUUUGUACGAGGGUAAACGCAGAUACGCGUAUCUGUCUGAAAGUAUCGUACGAAUAAGGAUCGGCUAACUCCGUGCCAGCAGCCGCGGUAAUACGGAGGAUUCAAGCGUUAUCCGGAUUUAUUGGGUUUAAAGGGUGCGUAGGCGGUCGGAUAAGUUAGCGGUGAAAUCCCGAGGCUCAACUUCGGAAUUGCCUCUGAUACUGUUCGGCUAGAGAGUAGUUGCGGUAGGCGGAAUGUAUGGUGUAGCGGUGAAAUGCUUAGAGAUCAUACAGAACACCGAUUGCGAAGGCAGCUUACCAGGGUACAUCUGACGUUGAGGCACGAAAGCGUGGGGAGCGAACAGGAUUAGAUACCCGAGUAGUC
rnacentral:rRNA from 1 species